rnacentral:misc_RNA from 1 species
GCAAACUUGGUCAUUUAGAGGAAGUAAAAGUCGUAACAAGGUUUCCGUAGGUGAACCUGCGGAAGGAUCAUCACUGAUUCGGGGGACGGUGUGGGAAACCACGCUGUGUACCCCCAACCAAUCUUGUGUGAACUGUAACGCGAGCACUACGUGUGAGAAAGGGUUGGCGGCUCGGAAGGGGAGACCCACCGCCGCCGCCACCAUCACACGAGUAUAUUAUCUCCUUACCAAUCUUGUCUAACAUUAUACAUUCAAUUACACAACUUUUAACAAUGGAUCUCUUGGCUCUCGCAUCGAUGAAGAACGCAGC